CACACCGGCAGAGAAGUGAUAGUGUUCUUUCUUCAUGAUAAUUCUCUCGCUAUAUUAUAUUUAAAUAUAUACAAUUUUAUAAAUUCUUCUUUUCGUAAAUUUUACUAUUAUUAUUGCAGUUUAUAUAUUGAGUUAUAAUUAUGAACAAUCUUGAAGGCAAGGAUUUGGUAGCAUUGAGAUGUCAUAUCGAUAUGUAAAUCGUCAAUCGACACAUACUCGUUGCAUGCUCUCUUGGAAAACGUGGACCGACACAUAGUCUCACCAUGCCAUAUCCAUUUUUGGAAAAUAGUUAUGGCGGCGAAAAGAUUCUUGGCAGCUUGGGGAUGUGUAUUGAGGCAGGAUGGAAUCGAUAGACUGAGCGUUCGAUUAGAGGAUGAAGUUUUUUUUUAGUCUUUUAGUUAUGAUUUCUAUGUAUUAUUUUUCCGCACUUAAUUUUGUAACUGUUGACCCUGUUUUUGGGCAACUGACAUGGAGUCAAAAUACGCUUGACGUGGAUGAAUGCGUUAAAAAGAACGUAAUGAAGAAAAUAAUAAGAACACGAUAUUUUAUAGU